UUUCGAAUCAUUCACAAUGGGCGAAAGCCUGAUGGUGCGACGCCGCGUGAGGGAUGAAGGCCUUCGGGUUGUAAACCUCUGUCACCGGGGAAGAAACGCUUCAAGUUAAUAGCUUGAAGCCUGACUUAACCCGGAGAGGAAGCAGUGGCUAACUCUGUGCCAGCAGCCGCGGUAAUACAGAGACUGCAAGCGUUAUUCGGAUUCACUGGGCGUAAAGGGUGCGCAGGCGGCCAAGUGUGUGAGGCGUGAAAGCCCGGGGCUUAACCCCGGAAUUGCACCUCAAACUACAUGGCUAGAGCAUUGGAGAGGGUAGCGGAAUUCACGGUGUAGCAGUGAAAUGCGUAGAUAUCGUGAGGAACACCAGAGGCGAAGGCGGCUACCUGGACAAUUGCUGACGCUCAGGCACGAAAGCGUGGGGAGCAAAAGGGAUUAGAUACCCCCGUAGUCC
rnacentral:rRNA from 1 species